GACGAACGCUGGCGGCGUGCUUAAUACAUGCAAGUCGAACGGUGAAAGAAGAGCUUUCUCUUCUGGAGCAGUGGCGAAAGCGUGAGUAUCACGUGUGUAACCUCCGCCUUACUCCGGGAUAAGCGCUGUGAACACCGUUUAUUACCCGACAUGAGACCUAUCUGCAUGGGUUCUGUGUGUAAAGUGUUUCGGUCUGGGAUGGACUCGAGGUCUAUCAGCUUGUUGGUGAGGUAACGGCUCACCAAGGCACCGACGGGUAGCCAGCCUGAGAGGGCGACAGGCCACACUGGGACUGAGAAACGGGCCAGACUGCAACGGGAGGCAGCGGUGGGAAAUAGUGCAAACUGGGCGAAAGCAGGAUACAGCGACGCCGCGUGAGGGAAGACGGCCUGCAGGUUAGAAACCUCUUUCGGCAGGAAAGAAGAGAAAGUGACGGUACCUGCAGAAGAAGCACCGGCUAACUACGUG
rnacentral:rRNA from 1 species